rnacentral:tRNA from 1 species
AGUGGGGUGGUAGUAUAAUUACGCGGUAUUUUGGUUCCCGAGAAGAGGUUAACCCCUCCUCCACUU